rnacentral:rRNA from 1 species
UGGGGAAUAUUGCACAAUGGGCGAAAGCCUGAUGCAGCCAUGCCGCGUGUGUGAAGAAGGCCCUAGGGUUGUAAAGCACUUUCAAUUGGGAGAAAAAGCUAAUGGUUAAUACCCAUUAGCCUUGAUGUUACCUUUAGAAGAAGCACCGGCUAACUCCGUGCCAGCAGCCGCGGUAAUACGGAGGGUGCAAGCGUUAAUCGGAAUUACUGGGCGUAAAGCGCGCGUAGGCGGUUUGGUCAGUUGGAUGUGAAAGCCCCGGGCUUAACCUGGGAACUGCAUUCAAUACUGCCAGACUAGAGUACGAGAGAGGGGGGUAGAAUUUCUAGUGUAGCGGUGAAAUGCGUAGAUAUUAGAAGGAAUACCAGUGGCGAAGGCGGCCCCCUGGCUCGAUACUGACGCUGAGGUGCGAAAGCGUGGGGAGCAAACAGG